rnacentral:rRNA from 1 species
UACGUAGGCAGCAAGCGUUUGUUCGGAGUUACUGGGCGUAAAGGGUGUGUAGGCGGUUCUUUUAAGUUUGGUGUGAAAUCUCCCGGCUCAACUGGGAGGGUGCGCCGAAUACUGAGGGACUAGAGUACGGGAGAGGAAAGUGGAAUUCCUGGUGUAGCGGUGAAAUGACGUAGAUAUCAGGAGGAACACCGGUGGUGUAGACGGCUUUCUGGACCGUAACUGACGCUGAGAACACGAAAGCGUGGGUAGCAAACAGG